rnacentral:piRNA from 1 species
UACUAGCAGUGGUGUCCAAAUGCUUGCCCUU